rnacentral:rRNA from 1 species
AGUAUUAGCUAGUUGGUUGGGUAACGGCUGACCAAGGCGAUGAUAGGUAGGCGGCCUUAACGGGUGGUCGCCCACACUGGGAUUGAGAUACGGCCCAGACUCCUACGGGAGGCAGCAGUCGAGAAUCGUCUACAAUGGGGGAAACCCUGAUAGUGCGACGCCGCGUGGAUGAUGAAGCAUUUCGGUGUGUAAAGUCCUUUUCUGUAUGAGCAAUGACAUGUAGGAUAAUAUUUUGCAUGUAGAGAUAUUAGUAUAGGAAUAAGCUCCGGCUAACUCCGUGCCAGCAGCCGCGGUAAUACGGGGGGAGCAAGCGUUGUCCGGAAUCACUAGGCGUAAAGGGCAAGUAGGCGGAAUUGUUAGUUAGACGUUAAAGACAUCGGCUCAACCGGUGGACAGCGUUUGAUACUGCAAUUCUAGAAUUAGGUAGGGGAAGACGGAAUUCCUGGUGUAGCGGUGGAAUGCGUAGAUAUCAGGAAGAACACCGGUGGCGAAGGCGGUCUUCUAUGCCAUAAUUGACGCUCAAUUGCGAAGGUGUGGGUAUCGAACAGGAUUAGAUACCCUGGUAGUCCACACAGUAAACGAUAGGCACUAGGUUGGGAGAGUGAAUCUUUCAGUGCCGUAGUUAACGCGUUAAGUGCCUCGCCUGGGGAGUACGAUCGCAAGGUUUAAACUCAAAGGAAUUGACGGGGGCCCGCACAAGCGGUGGAGCAUGUGGUUUAAUUCGAUGCAACGCGAAGAACCUUACCUGGGCUUGACAUCCUAAGGAGAUUUCAGAGAUGAGAUUGUGCCCUUCGGGGAACUUAGAGACAGGUGCUGCAUGGUUGUCGUCAGCUCGUGCCGUGAGGUGUUGGGUUAAGUCCCGCAACGAGCGCGACCCUUAUCUUUAGUUGCUACCAUUAAGUUGAGGACUCUAGAGAGACUGCCAGUGUAAUAAACUGGAGGAAGGUGGGGAUGACGUCAAAUCAUCAUGGUCCUUACGUCCAGGGCUACACACGUGCUACAAUGGUCGGAACAGAUGGAAGCUAAGCCGCGAGGUGUCGCUAAUCCCAAAAAGCCGAUCACAGUUCGGAUUGGAGUCUGCAACUCGACUCCAUGAAGUCGGAAUCGCUAGUAAUCGCGUGUCAGCGUAACGCGGUGAAUACGUUCCCGGGCCUUGUACACACCGCCCGUCAAGUCAGCCGAGUUGAUUGCACCCGAAGGAGGUGGGCUAACCGAAAGGAGGCAGCUUCCGAAGGUGUGGUUAGCAAGGGGGACUAAGUCGUAACAAGGUA